rnacentral:rRNA from 1 species
GAUGAACGCUGGCGGCGUGCCUAAUACAUGCAAGUCGAGCGAACAGACGAGGAGCUUGCCCCUCUGACGUUAGCGGCGGACGGGUUAGUAACACGUGGAUAACCUACCUAUAAGACUGGGAUAACUUCGGGAAACCGGAGCUAAUACCGGAUAAUAUAUUGAACCGCAUGGUUUAAUAGUGAAAGACGGUUUUGCUGUCACUUAUAUAUGGAUCCGCGCCGCAUUAGCUAGUUGGUAAGGUAACGGCUUACCAAGGCAACAAUGAGUAGCCGACCUGAGAGGGUGAGCGGCCCCACUGGAACUGAGAAACGGUCCAGACUCCUACGGGAGGCAGGAGUAGGGAAUCUUCCGCAAUGGGCGAAAGCCUGACGGAGCAACGCCGCGUGAGUGAUGAAGGUCUUCGGAUCGUAAAACUCUGUUAUUAGGGAAGAACAAAUGUGUAAGUAACUAUGCACGUCUUGACGGUACCUAAUCAGAAAGCCACGGCUAACUAAGUG